rnacentral:rRNA from 1 species
GCGGAUACCGGGGGGUGAUCAGUUAGCGCCUUUUUUUUAGGUCGGGGGUGCUAGAAUAGGGCGUAGGUCGUUGACGAGGUGGGGGCAUAAGAGAAAGUCAAAGAGAAAGAGGGUAGGGGUCUAGUCUCGAGGAGGCUAGGUGGGCGGGGGAAGAGUAGCCGCCCUAGGGGCGACGACGGAGUGCGUGCUGGGAGAGGAGGCGCCAGGUCAGGCGAGCUUGUGGCGGCGGGAGGAGUGACCGCCCUAGGCUCGGCGGUCGGAGUGGGCGCCCUAGCCUCGGCGGCCGGUGGCGGGUGGAGCGGACUUCCUAUCCUACGGUGAUGAGAAGAUGUGGCAGGUGGCCACCGGGUAGUGGACGAAGUGGACUGACUUUUUAGGAACGCCACAAAGCUUCUUCGACACCACCUUUAAGGCCUUGGCGACGCGGCUGCCACCACACUACGGCCGCUACCCAGGCGACCGUUAAGUCAUACGCUCCUACAGCGACGGUUGAGCUCCCUUUACUAAACCACUUUAUAACUAACGCUCCCAAACCUUGGUUCAUUGAUUUUUUGUUAACCUCGUUUCUCCGUCACUUACCUUGAGAUCUAUGAGUCGAAAACUGAGAGUGAGCUUUUCAAGUUUUAUUAUUAGACCGUCACAGUAGACGAAACUCAUCGAGUCCUACCCACCAAUCUUCUCUAGCUUCCCUUCCGCGUUCUUGUACUAUUCUACGUACAACGUGUUGUUCUCUACUAUUUCCUCGACUAUUCUAAUAGUCAAAAAUAACCACCGACAAUCUUCGACAUCUGUUCUACUACGUAAAAAUAAUCUAAGUUCACUCUAAUAAGUCUAAUCGUAUUUUUCACGUCUCCUAGCACGUUUCGAAACAAUAGUAAACUAAUAAAGUGAUAUAUAAAACAAGUCAAAGCUACAUUCGUAGUCCGGAAUUGUCCUUUAAGUUAAACUACAUGAACCGGUACUAGUUGCUUGUGUUUAUAAUGUCUUCUCGUGGUUUACUUACUCUUGAACUGUUGUAUCUUGCUUA